rnacentral:rRNA from 1 species
CUUUCAUUCGGGAUCAUGAUGAACGCUGGCUACAGGUUUAACACAUGCAAGUCUAGGGGCAGCGGGAUUGAAGCUUGCUUCAAUUGCCGGCGACCGGCGCACGGGUGAGUAACGCGUAUCCAACCUUCCGUACACUCAGGGAUAGCCUUUCGAAAGAAAGAUUAAUACCUGAUAGUAUCUUAAGCACACAUGUAAUUAAGAUUAAAGAUUUAUCGGUGUACGAUGGGGAUGCGUUCCAUUAGGUAGUAGGCGGGGUAACGGCCCACCUAGCCAACGAUGGAUAGGGGUUCUGAGAGGAAGGUCCCCCACAUUGGAACUGAGACACGGUCCAAACUCCUACGGGAGGCAGCAGUGAGGAAUAUUGGUCAAUGGACGAGAGUCUGAACCAGCCAAGUAGCGUGAAGGAUGAAGGUCCUACGGAUUGUAAACUUCUUUUAUAAGGGAAUAAACCCUCCCACGUGUGGGAGCUUGUAUGUACCUUAUGAAUAAGCAUCGGCUAACUCCGUGCCAGCAGCCGCGGUAAUACGGAGGAUGCGAGCGUUAUCCGGAUUUAUUGGGUUUAAAGGGAGCGCAGACGGGUCGUUAAGUCAGCUGUGAAAGUUUGGGGCUCAACCUUAAAAUUGCAGUUGAUACUGGCGUCCUUGAGUGCGGUUGAGGUGUGCGGAAUUCGUGGUGUAGCGGUGAAAUGCUUAGAUAUCACGAAGAACUCCGAUUGCGAAGGCAGCACACUAAUCCGUAACUGACGUUCAUGCUCGAAAGUGUGGGUAUCAAACAGGAUUAGAUACCCUGGUAGUCCACACGGUAAACGAUGGAUACUCGCGGUUGGCGAUAUACUGUCGGAGGAUUUGCGAAAGGGUGAAG